AUUUUUCUCUUGCUGCUGCCAUGUAAGAAGUGUCUUUCACCUCCUGCCAUGAUUCUGAGGCUUCCCCAGCCAUGUGGAACUGAAGUUGCGCUGUACCUGAGAGCACCGAGAUAUAACAUAAGAAGCCAUCUUGGAAUUAAAGUUGUUAUGUACUGAUUGCUCUGACCUCCUCUCGUAAACAGGCAUUCUACUGGAACGUGUAAGAUAAUUUUUGCCAUCUGUCAUUUUCUUCUUCUUGAGAAAGGAGGAGAAUUACUGAGAAACAAGAAAAUGGAGUUAAAAAUCAUUCAGAGAAGUCAUCCUGAGGGAAUUUAGCUUGAAAUUCCCGAAUUAACUUUCUUUCAGCCAAGUGCUAAGGAGUUGUCCAUAUGCUGAUGUUAAGCCUGAAAGAUCUUGGAUUACCUUUUGUUUGUAGUUGUGCAGCUGUAAUAUAAUUCUGAUCUAUUCCAUAGCUGCUAAUGACUCAACACCUGAGACCUUGAAGUAUAACAGCCAAGGUUAUUUUGCAAUGUGAGGCAAUAAAAUAAGGUAGGAUCGCUCAUAUAUGCAAAAGUACUCUGAAAUCGCAAGACUGAUAUAAAGAUAUAUGCUUCUAUCAAGUGCUUAUAACAGAAAUGAUUUCAUUGCUAUACACACAUUCACACACAUACAAUAAUAUGCAAAAUUUCUUGCAAAACUUGCAAACAAAGCAGGUAAAGACAUAAAUAAUCAGUAAUUAAGAAUUCACCGGAGAGGACAGAUGAGAGAUUAUGCUGAGUCAAGAAGCUAAAAUGCAUAUAUAAAAUUUAUGCAUGUGUGGGGUCAUUGCACCUGUGCCCUCAGUGAACCAUUCAAUCAAGAACAAACUUUCUGUUAUAAGAUGAAAAAGUCCUGGAGAUCUUAUGUACAUUAAGGUGACUGUAGUUAAUAGUAAAGCAUUGUAUACUUAAAAGUUGCUUAAAGAGUAGAUCUUAAUUGUUCUCACUAUAGAAUAAAAGGUAACUAUGAAGUGAUAGAGGCAUUAGCUUGUUACAUUUUAUAAUCCAUGCAUAUAUCAAAAUAUCACGUGUGUACCUUAAAUGUAUACAAUUUUCAUUUGUCAAUUAUACCUAAAUAAAACUGAGGAAAAUAAAAUAAAAUAAAAUGAUACUGUUUGUUUAAAAACACCACAAUUUAACAUCAAAACUACUGAUUCACAAUAGCAGGUAAAGAAUGAUUACAGUAAAAAAAGGUUAUU
rnacentral:lncRNA from 10 species